rnacentral:ribozyme from 12 species
GAAAAACAAGAAGAACAAAAGAACAAGAGAGGACACAUCAGAGAUAUUUGGUUCCUGUUCGCUUUUUAGCAGUUGAGCUUUUUAUUUGUUGUUGUUGUUCCAGAUUAGACUGUCCAUUUUGUUGUAAUUGUAGA